rnacentral:rRNA from 1 species
AGUGAACGCUGGCGGUAGGCCUAACACAUGCAAGUCGAACGGCAGCACAGUAAGAGCUUGCUCUUACGGGUGGCGAGUGGCGGACGGGUGAGGAAUACAUCGGAAUCUACUUUUUCGUGGGGGAUAACGUAGGGAAACUUACGCUAAUACCGCAUACGACCUACGGGUGAAAGCAGGGGAUCUUCGGACCUUGCGCGAUUGAAUGAGCCGAUGUCGGAUUAGCUAGUUGGCGGGGUAAAGGCCCACCAAGGCGACGAUCCGUAGCUGGUCUGAGAGGAUGAUCAGCCACACUGGAACUGAGACACGGUCCAGACUCCUACGGGAGGCAGCAGUGGGGAAUAUUGGACAAUGGGCGCAAGCCUGAUCCAGCCAUACCGCGUGGGUGAAGAAGGCCUUCGGGUUGUAAAGCCCUUUUGUUGGGAAAGAAAAGCAGCAGGUUAAUACCCCGCUGUUCUGACGGUACCCAAAGAAAAAGCACCGGCUAACUUCGUG